rnacentral:rRNA from 1 species
GACGAACGCUGGCGGCGUGCUUAACACAUGCAAGUCGAACGAAGAGCGAUGGAAGCUUGCUUCUAUCAAUCUUGGUGGCGAACGGGUGAGUAACGCGUAAUCAACCUGCCCUUCAGAGGGGGACAACAGUUGGAAACGACUGCUAAUACCGCAUACGAUCUGACCUCGGCAUCGAGGAUAGAUGAAAGGUGGCCUCUAUUUAUAAGCUAUCACUGAAGGAGGGGAUUGCGUCUGAUUAGCUAGUUGGAGGGGUAACGGCCCACCAAGGCGAUGAUCAGUAGCCGGUCUGAGAGGAUGAACGGCCACAUUGGGACUGAGACACGGCCCAGACUCCUACGGGAGGCAGCAGUGGGGAAUCUUCCGCAAUGGACGAAAGUCUGACGGAGCAACGCCGCGUGAGUGAUGACGGCCUUCGGGUUGUAAAGCUCUGUUAAUCGGGACGAAAGGCCUUCUUGCGAAUAGUUAGAAGG